ACUCAAAUGAAUUGACGGGGACCCGCACAAGCGGUGGAGCAUGUGGUUUAAUUCGACGGUAAGCGAGGAACCUUACCAAGGCUUGACAUGUACCUGCAUAUUCUGGAAACAGAAUAGCCUUCGAGGGUGGUACACAGGUGCUGCACGGUUGUCGUCAGCUCGUGUCGUGAGAUGUGCACUUAAGUGUGCGAACGAGCGCAACCCCUAUUGUUGGUUACAAGUGUCCAGCGAGACUGCCAGGGUUUAACCUGGAGGAAGGUGGGGAUGACGUCAAAUCAGCGUGGCUCUUACGCCUUGGGCUACACACGUGCUACAAUGGAUAGAUACAGAGGGACGCCAAGUGGUAACACGGAGCAAAUCCCAUAAAACUAUCCCCAGUUCAGAUUGAGGGCUGCAACUCGCCCUCAUGAAGCCGGAAUCGCUAGUAACCGUGAAUCAGCCUCGUCACGGUGAAUACGUUCUCGGGUUUUGCACACACCGCCCGU
rnacentral:rRNA from 1 species